rnacentral:rRNA from 1 species
UACGGGGGGGGCAAGCGUUGUUCGGAAUUACUGGGCGUAAAGGGCUCGUAGGCGGCCAACUAAGUCGGACGUGAAAUCCCUCGGCUUAACCGGGGAGCUGCGUCUGAUACUGGAUGGCUUGAGUUCGGGAGAGGGAUGCGGAAUUCCAGGUGUAGCGGUGAAAUGCGUAGAUAUCUGGAGGAACACCGGUGGCGAAGGCGGCAUCCUGGACCGAUACUGACGCUGAGGAGCGAAAGCCAGGGGAGCAAACGGG